GACGAACGCUGGCGGCGUGCCUAACACAUGCAAGUCGAGCGGAGAUGUACUGAAGAUUUAUCGGAUGUACAUCUUAGCGGCGGACGGGUGAGUAACGCGUGGGCAACCUGCCUUUCACUGGGGGAUAACACAGGGAAACCUGUGCUAAUACCGCAUGACAUCACGUAGGGCAUCCUAUGUGAUCAAAGGAGAGAUCCGGUGGAAGAUGGGCCCGCGUCCAAUUAGCUGGUUGGUGAGGUAAAGGCUCACCAAGGCGACGAUUGGUAGCCGAACUGAGAGGUUGAUCGGCCACAUUGGGACUGAGACACGGCCCAGACUCCUACGGGAGGCAGCAGUGGGGAAUAUUGCGCAAUGGGGGGAACCCUGACGCAGCAACGCCGCGUGAAGGAAGAAGGUCUUCGGAUUGUAAACUUCUUUGAUGAGGGACGAAUAAAGUGACGGUACCUCAAAACAGCCACGGCUAACUACGUGCCAGCAGCCGCGGUAAUCACGAG
rnacentral:rRNA from 1 species